rnacentral:rRNA from 1 species
UACGGGGGGGGCAAGCGUUGUUCGGAAUUACUGGGCGUAAAGGGCUCGUAGGCGGCCAAGUAAGUCAGACGUGAAAUCCCUCGGCUUAACCGGGGAACUGCGUCUGAUACUGGAUGGCUUGAGAUUGGGAGAGGGAUGCGGAAUUCCAGGUGUAGCGGUGAAAUGCGUAGAUAUCAGGAGGAACACCGGUGGCGAAGGCGGGUCUCUGGGCCGCAACUGACGCUGAGGAGCGAAAGCAUGGGGAGCAAACGGG